UUUUGUAAUGUGAUUCUAGAUUUAAAUUGUAAUUGUACUAGUAAAUAUAAGAAUAUUCAAGCCAAUAUUUUAAUAAAGAAUACUAUUUUAUCAUGUACAGCUGCCAUAAUGAAACAGAUGACGCACGACAGAUCAGAAUAAGAAAUUCAGGAAACAAAUUAAGGAAGCAUUGCUGCUAGAAUAAAUCAGUCAUUACUGAUCCAAUGACCCAUGUCAACAAAGGAAUAACAGUGUAUUUGAAAUAAUGUAAUUAUUACUUUCGGUAUCCAUCAGCCCCACAAAUAUGAUUAGAAG
rnacentral:lncRNA from 10 species